CCUUCCCAUGACUGGGGAAUAACCUUGCGAAAGUAAGACUAAUACCCCAUGGUCAUGGACGGGGAUGCGUCUGAUUAGCUUGUUGGCGGGGUAACGGCCCACCAAGGCGACGAUCAGUAGGGGUUCUGAGAGGAAGGUCCCCCACAUUGGAACUGAGACACGGUCCAAACUCCUACGGGAGGCAGCAGUGAGGAGUAUUGUCAAUGGACGAGAGUCUGAACCAGCCAUGUAGCGUGCAGGAUGACGGCCUAUGGGUUGUAAACUGCUUUUAUACGGGAAUAUGUACCGUAUGAAUAAGGACCGGCUAAUUCCGUGCCAGCAGCCGCGGUAAUACGGAAGGUCCGGGCGUUAUCCGGAUUUAUUGGGUUUAAAGGGAGCGUAGGCCGCCGAUUAAGCGUGUUGUGAAAUGCCGCGGCUCAACUGUGGCACUGCAGCGCGAACUGGUUGGCUUGAGUGCGCGGAAGGCAGGCGGAAUUUGUGGUGUAGCGGUGAAAUGCUUAGAUAUCACGAAGAACCCCGAUUGCGAAGGCAGCCUGCCGCAGCGUAACUGACGCUGAAGCUCGAAAGUGCGGGUAUCGAACAGGAUUAGAUACCCUGGUAGUCCGCACGGUAAACGAUGGAUGCCGGCUUCCGUAGUGGCCAAGCGAAAGCGUUAAGCAUCCCACCUGGGGAGUACGCCGGCAACGGUGCAACUCAAAUGAAUUGAC
rnacentral:rRNA from 1 species